UUGACCCUGUUUUUGAGAUGUUUUUCUGUUGAGGUCACUGAAAAUUUUCAGUAGAAGGAAAAUGCUCAGAAUGGUGAGCAGCUUUUUUUGAAAAGCAGUCUUAAGGUGUAAGGAAUAACAAUUUUUAAACAUUUUAUAUUUACUAGGCUAAGCUAUAGAAAUAAUUUAAAGCUUAAACCAGACUCCUAUAUCUUAAUAUAGAGUAAGUUAUUUCUUGUUCUGGUGAAUAAUCUGGGUCUUUGAUUUUGGAAAAAGUAUGUUUAGUGACAUAUUGGAACCAAGAGUUCUAAAAGCACACUAUCUAUAAUGGCUGUGAGAUUUCAGAGUGGCAUAGAGUACCUACAGAAAGUUGAAGGAUGGAAUCUAAGGAUUGGCUCCUUUUUGAGAUCUUAUACAUAGGGGAAGAUAUUAUUUCACUAUGUAUUUUGGUUGUAAUCGUCUCAGUAUAUGUUCUAUUAAUUUUAUCCUUUUAUUACAUAAUGCUAUGGGUUAUUUCAUAUCCAUGGAACUUCAAUAGUAUAAGGUAUGUCUCCCAUAUUCUUGAAAUCCCAGGGGAACACCUUUUCCCCAUAGAAAAUCGUCAGCUAGCAGCUUACCUCUGUCACAGCCAAGAGGAAAUGUUGGACUUAUUUUAGAUAAACACUUCAUAUCACUGUGUACAGACUCCCUUGUGAAACAGUUGUAAGGAAACCAGCUGAGAUAAGAAGACGUCCAAGAGCAAUGUUUAAGCAAGCUCAUAGUAAAGUAGCUGGAACAUUUGAUCACAGCUUCUAAGAGCAGAUGAGACCAGCAGCAAAGUACACAGUGGAAAGAAACUUGCUUCUUCCCUCUGCGUUACCAGUGUGGUGAGAAGGAUAGAAGGUAAUGUAAUACAUGAGAGUCCACGCUUGGCUUGUGUCAAAAGUCAAAAUAAUGUGGUUAAAUUGCAGCAGUUUUUGCUUUUCGCCAAAGCAUCAGGGAAAUACAUGAUGUAUUAAAAUAAAGCUCACCACUGGCAAAAAGACGUAUUGGCCAAAAGGGAAGUGCCUGUGGACUUCAUUAAGAAUUCUGGUUUGGUUUAGCAUACCCCAAACUGGUUUUGAUUUGGGUGUUUUCUUUUGUUCAGUUGUUGGGGUAGGAGUUUCUGUCUUAAGUACACAUACUGGAUUCCAUGAUGUUAGCAAUGAUGGUUUCAAAGAAAACGGGAAAAAAAAAUAACAUAUUGGAAUUUUUUUUUAAAAACCUCCACAAUGGAAGUAGCAGCGCAAACAGGAGGCAUUAGAAGCUGCAAUUUAACACUGGAGGAUAGAAAAAAGUAAGGUCAAGUUAGUGCUGGUAAGUGCAUAUGAAAUUUGCAUCAUCUGGGUGUUUGUUUAGCAAACUAAACUAAUUGUUUCAUCUUUUAUAAAUGAAAUGUUUUUUGACAGGAUCCAUCAUCAUGGAGCCUUACAAAGGCACACCGUGCCUUAAGCAAGCUCUUGCUCAAGUGUCAGAACUGUGCAUGAGCUGCCUUUGAGAAGUUGUCUCAGCCCCUGACAAUAUUGUUAGUGGCAUCAGUUAUUUCUCUACUUCAAAGUCAGUAUUUGAUUAUUAUUUUUUAAUAUAUCAAUCCAUUUGAUUUUUUUUAACAAGGGUGAAAAGCCACGGUUCACAUUCAGUGCAGCAGACGUUGCAAUUUCUCUUUCUAUGCACUGUGAGCAACUAUAUUCUACAACUUUAUAGUUUUGUUUCAGAUUUGGAGGCUUGCCACUAAUUCAUAUUUGUACACUAUUGCUGAAAAAUAAUUGAUGAAUGACAGAAGGAUAUGAACAAAUGGGCGUUCAUCCAGUCCUGGUAUAUAAAUAAACUUCUGAAGACACAAGAAGAUUUACAUGCAUUUCUGGCUCACAGAAACAAAAUCCAUGAUAGAAAACAGACAUUGGAAAGAAACAAGCACUUGCUGGAGUACAUUUACCUUUUUUAAACUUUUUAUUGCAUUUACUUCACAUACAGGACUGAUUAUUGUUCAUGUGAGGAAAUUCAGCCCUUUGCAAGUAUUCGGUGAAAAAUACAAAGCCCAUCUGUGAACAGAUCAGGGAGGCAACAUGUACACUAGUGAAAGAGUGAUUGAAAGAUUGGGUACGUGAAAAACGGGGAGAGGAAAUAAUGUAACAGGAAGAUUUACUGGCAUAUGAUAACAAAUUUAGUGGAAAUUGACCAGAACCUAUUAUACUCCAAGAGUUUAAUAUUAAAUUCACAACUGGGGAAUAUUUUCUUGAAAAAGUUGUAUGAAAGAAGCAGUCUAGUCAUGUAGUGUUAUUUGUGAGUCAAGCAGGAGUCACCUCUAGCAGUACUGAUCAGUAGAGUUUGUGUGUAAUACAUAUUAGGAAUGAAAACCACCACCAUAACAUAGGAUUAGUUAUUAAUGUAACCAAUAUAUAGUUAGAUGGGCAUAAAAUAAUACAUAAUAAUAAAUAAUAAGAUGGAUAUGUUCUACAGUGCAGCAUAGUCAGGUGCUUUGGCCAUCUUUUGGAAGAUUAUAGAUGUAGCCAAACCCUUCCUUGCCACCUUUCUGCAACUUCAGUUGUUCUCUUCAUUAACAUGUGGUAUCGAUUACCUCCUGGGGCAACUCUCCCUGUUGUUUUCACUGUUAAAAGCCUUUCCAAAUUUCCCUUCUUCUGAAUUAGUGAUUUUCAUCCUCUGAAGCAGUCUCUGCAGUGCAGAUCAAGGCAACUUUCAAGUGCAGCACAGGUAAGAUCUGGAGACUUCCACGCCAUCCCUGGAUUCUGUCUCUUUCUUGCUUCCCCUGUGUAUUGCAGGCUGACACCCCAGCCCCAUACAGCCUCCCUGCAUUCUUCAGCUCAUGAUAGCUGCAGUUCCUUCUUCUCUGGUGAGCAGUGGAAAGCAAGCCAUGAGGAUGACAGUAGCAUAGCCUGAUAAGUGAGUUCCAUGAAUGUGGUCCUCUGAGAGUGCCACAACCUUCAUUUUUUGAGAGAUUUUGUCCACCUCUUUGUAUCAUUUUAGCUCCUGUGUGCUUUUUGUCACCCUCAAACCAAUGGUAUAUUCUCAGGACAACUGAAUCCUCAGGUUGUAUCAUUUCAGUAUUGUGUCCCUCAGUAAUCAUCCCUCACCAAUACCCUCCUAUGUUCCCAGCAUUGUUCCUGUUACCAGUAGGUCUACUGGCCAUCAACCACAGUCUCUGCAGGCCUGGUAACAUAAGCCUUUCCUCACAUCUUUUGGAGACUCAUUGUCCUUCAGAAGCCAGAGAGGUGAGGGAGGUGUAAGGGGUCCACAAAGCAGGGGAGAGAGAAGCAGUGGUCGUUCUAAGGGAAGGGCAUUAGGACCAACAUUAGAACCUAAUGUUUUUGUAUGUUUAUGCAUAUAGUUAAAAGGAGCCAUGAGGCUUCCAGCCAAAUUAAGUAAGCAGGUUUUACUUCCUGGGAAGAUUGUUCCUCACACCUCAUAGAAACAUUACAGAAGAAUGAAGAAGCUGCACUGGAAAAUCAAAAAACUGGAUUACAUUUGCAUGCUGUGCUACAGAGAUCUGUUUUAAGGGUAUGAAUGCUGCUAAACUUUAAAUUUAACUCCAGAGGAUGAUGCAAAAAAAUACUGAACGGAGAAGAGUAUUUUUAUUUCAUACCUUUUUGAAGGAUUAAUUAUUGCUUUUUAAAAUCUGCAAGGCGUGUAGGAGUAAAAAUGCACAGCACAGCAUCAAACCCAUUAACGUGCUAAUUCAUUUAGAGGCAAUAUAAAAAAGUGUUUUCACCUAUUACAGUAUUUGCAUCUCCAUGCUGCUCUGUUACAGAACCUGUUAAGCAAGCCAUCUCCUUGGUGUAGUUAAGAACCCCAGAGGGAGUACCAGCCUCAUGGAUCAUGGGAUAUCCCAUCAUGAACAGCAUGGGAGUAGCAUAGAUCAAGAGUGGGAUGACAGGCACUGCAAUCCUCGUCCUGCUCAUGCAAUGCAGUAUUUGGUAACUGCUCGUAAAUUAGCAGGGAAGAUGUAAACAUUAAACGGAAGCUGGAGGGAGGCUCGGGAGUGCUGUGUUCUGCGUGUUCCCUCCAUGGGAGUGUGUCUAUUGUACUGGGCGGCUUGGGAGCGCUGUGUGCUGUGCCACGCUACGGAGAUGUUUGGCUUUGUGGUUAAAAGCAGUCAUGCUGGUUUGGUGAAGCAACUUGGAGCUGGAGCAUGUGCCUUGGGUUAUGUUGGAUUGCUGUAGCUUGUGCUGUGUUCCCAUGGGUUGGUUUAAUGUGCCGGCCCAUAUGGCCUGUAACUGCGCUCUGUUUUUGUGGUAAUCUGAGAGCUGGCAUGGUUCCUGCUUUGCUGUACUUUAACAGGAACUAUCAGGAAAGACAGGAUUGUUUGUGCUGAGUUCAAUUCUGUAAAUAAAACUUAGCAUAAUUAGUAGCUUUCCUUAUUUGGGAGAAUGGAUGUUCGAUUAGAAAGGUGAGGCAAACUUUAUGUUGUAUUCUGAGAAUUAACUGUCACAAUGAGCAAUGCAAAUGUAAUACAUUAGAAUUUAGCUAUUCUGUGAUUAUUCAAGUAAUUUCAUUGUGUUUUCAGUCUCUAUGCUAGUGUGCUCUUUCACCAUCAUUACUUAUGUUCCAGAGAACUGAGACCAGAAUGUUUUGAGAGAAAUUCUAGAAGAUAGUGAGCAACUGGAGAAAAAAAGAAAAAAAGAAAAAAGAAAAAAAAAGAAGAAAAAAAAAGCCUGAGAAUUUCGGGAGCAUGCCUUUGGAACUAAAAGGUGCCUUUUCAAUAAGUUAAUGGUGACAGCCAAGAAUCCUAAAUCUACGAAAGAAAUCCUAUGAUCAGGAUUCAGCUUUUUGAGGUGUCCAGAAAAGAAGAUAUGCUCUUGGAAGCUACAUUGGACUGAAGAUAACUUAGACUGACAUUCCCACAUUCUAAUAUGCACACGCCAUAGCAAAGCGUUGCCUAAAUAAUUCCCGAAUAUUCAAACAUGUAAUCCUGGCCAAGACUGAAAGCUGUUGCUGCUGCAACUUCUGCUGCCUCUACCAACAGUGGCUACAGUCAUAGUGAGCAAUGUGCAUAUAAGAGACAUUGAUCUGGAUGUUUUUGCACCGACUAAAGACGGAGAUAAUGUGUUCUUACGUUUCUUUAUGAAAAAUGGGAGACCACUAAAGAGCGUGAAGAAUCUACACAGGAGAGACGGUGCAGCCCAGGAGGGAGGCCAAGUGAGCAAGCAUGAUAUUCUCUAACACAACCUGCCGCUCCUGCAGUGCAGAGAAUGGUGUGGUCCGAAGAAAGUCAGGUGGGUCCCCACUGCUAGCAUUGGGGCUUCUCCUGGACCUUCUCCCCAGCAACACACUGUCAGCACCACUCACAGCCUGCUCCACUGGGAAGUUCUCCACACCUUGGCAAUGGUACAGCAAUUAACAGGUUAGUUACAGGGGACUAAUGGGAGGGUAAACAGAGCUUAACCAGUCCAGCCUCUAUGCCAAACUGUCAUAAUGUGGCACGUUGUUCUUGGAGGAGGUGGGAAUGGCAACCUGACAAUGACCUGGUGUUUUUUCAAGCGUCUGACUGCAGGAACGCCUACUGAUGAUACACAUGGCAAGGAUAUGUCAGGCAGAUGUGUUGAGUCAUGGACACAGCUCAGGUGAGAGUGUCAGGCAGUGCACUGACAGGGUGCACCCAUAGAGAUCCACUAGCCUGUGCUCAUGCUGGUUCAGCAAUGUCAUUUGAAAUACAGUUGUGUAAGUAUGCAUGGCUGGACUUUUCUUAAAUGCCAUGAAAUUAAUUCAGAAUCAAGGCAGUACAGGUAUGUUGGUAACUGUCAUAUUGUACUAACGCAACCCUACUCAAUUAUUUGAUCAGUUAUUUCACAAUUAUGUUAAUGAAUUACAAUGAAAUUUAAAAAUGCAGUAGAAUAUGUAAAUUUUUUACAAAUGUAAAUCUUUGAUAUUCAAAUGUGCAGUGUUUGUUUGUACCUUAUUACAACUGUAUACAAUGUGGAGUAUGUAGUGUAGGGGAAACAACAUCCUGUCAUAAAUACUUUGGAUCAAAAGUGCAAAUUCCACUUUUAUCUGUGUAGUUUGCAGAACACUGAGAGCUGUGAUCAUUCGUUUACAGAGUAGAUAAAUGUAGGUAGUUUCACAAGUAGGCAAGUUUUAUGCCCUUUUAAGUCUGAUUCCAGAAAAGCCACAGAGAAAGGUAAGGUUUUAUUAAACAGCAAGUCAACUAGAAUAAAAGCAGCAAAUAAUGUGGAAUAGAUGGGAAGUUUGUAGAUACCAAGUAUAGUAAUAUUUAAAGAUCAUACAUAGAGCUGUCUUACUGCUUAGACAAUUGAACGCUAAGUACUGUUACAGUAAAUAGUUUGCUUACUAGAAAAAAAUAAAUACUGAAACAAGCAGUGAAAACUGGUUUAAGUAGACAAUAGUUUUGAAAACCUGUAUGGUACUUCUAUCUGUAUUAUGGUCUCCAACUAUGAGAACAAGCAAGUCUCCAAUAAAUUGAAAUAGGAAUUUUGUGUAUAUCAUCUCAAGGGCAUUAAUUUAAAAUGUCAUACAAUAACUGUAAAGGAUUUGACAUAAACUGAUAGUACUUUAUGGGGGCAGGUGGCAUCCAGCAAAGAAAUCCCGCUCCUGUCAAACUACUUAAUUUCAAUUCAUGCUUAAUACUAAUUCUAUGUUUGUUUUAGCAGGAAUCGCUUGAAAGAUGAUGAACAGUCUAGUUUUACUUCUCCGCUUCUGAACACCAUAGAGGCAGCUGCUUGCAGUCUUGUAAGAACUUGUCCCACAGUGCUACGUAGCCAGGAAUGCAGCCACUCAACACACACAUAGAAGUAUUAUGGAUAAAACCAAUAUAAAUAGUAAGCCAGUAACAUGCCAUGCAGGUAGCCUAGUGUAUGGUGAGAAUUAAAUGGGAAGCAACUUAAAGGAAUUUCAAAGAUGACUAAAGAAAAUGCUUGUAGGAAUGUCAGACUUUCCUCCUCUAUUUACUCCCACAUGACACAGACUGAACAUGCCUGACCAUGCACAUGCAAAGACCAGCAACUGCCAAGACGAAACUCUGUCUUUCUGCAAUGUAUAACAAUUUUGCUGUCCUCAAGCCAGAUUGCUAUCUACUACUUGGCUCAGGAUAAAUGAGAGCAAAAGGCAGACUUCCCACACUAAGAACAGCCUGUUUACUAAACAGCUGGAGCUAAUGAGAACAUAGUACACGAAUGUUUGUGCCUUGUUCUCUUUCUGCUGUAUGCAUUAAUGGUUCUCUGAAGGCAAAAACCUUUAAACAAAUGGAGUCCUGCUGUUUUCUCUGGUCCUCCAGUAUUCAUUGUAGCAGCUCUGGUUCUCUAUACAUGAUUUAUUUUAACAGGUCCUAUGUAUAAAUUUGAGAGUUGGAAAAAAACCACAACCCUGUUCUAAUCAGCAAGCCCCAAACUCUGAAGCACUAGGUAGAGCCCUGCAAGCGUUACCACCUUCUUCUUCUGCAAGAAACACUCUUUCUUAUCUUGCCUGAAAUAGAAGAAAACACAGCUUAAGGCUCAGAAGUUAUGCAGCUGCAAUAAACCUGGGCUGGAACAGAUAACUUACUGUCCCUUCUAGGCAGAUACCAUUAUUUUCCAUAAUCCCUGUGCAGCACUUACAUAUUAGUUUAAUAGGUUCCUUAGAAACUGGCAGAAUGACAUUAUGCUAAAUAAGCAAUAUUUACUAGAAAUUCCUCUGAUCCUUCCCUUGAGGCAUAAUUGAAUAUUACAACUGACUCCUCAAAGGCAGCUGCUCCAUUUCCAAUCCCUUUACUUCUUAGGAAAAUAAUUUUGCAAAAGGAAAAACCUUCAAAUUAUUACUAUUCAGUUGAAAUAACUAUCUUCAGAUACCAAUUUGUGUACCGACUUGGAUGCAGUGUUCCCACUGAUACCUCCUUUUCUGACUUUACAUUGCGAAUAAUUCAUGGAGUGGAACAGGCUGGAGUAGGUAGGCUUUUGCAUUUCACACAACAAAACAAAAAUUACUAAUUGUGUAACUUCAUACUGUGAAAUAUGUUGUUAAUCUUGUAAAAAAAAUCUAU